rnacentral:rRNA from 1 species
CCUACGGGGUGCUGCAGUGAGGAAUAUUGGUCAAUGGACGCAAGUCUGAACCAGCCAUGCAGCGUGCAGGAAGACGGCCCUAUGAGUUGUAAACUGCUUUUGUACGAGGGUAAACGCAGACACGCGUAUCUUUCUGAAAGUACCGCAUGAAUAAGGAUCGGCUAACUCCGUGCCAGCAGCCGCGGUAAUACGGAGGAUUCAAGCGUUAUCCGGAUUUAUUGGGUUUAAAGGGUGCGUAGGCGGUCGGAUAAGUUUGAGGUGAAAUGCCGAGGCUCAACUUCGGAAUUGCGUCGGGAACUGGUCGGCUAGAGAGUAGUUGCGGUAGGCGGAAUGUGUGGUGUAGCGGUGAAAUGCUUAGAGAUCAUACAGAACACCGAUUGCGAAGGCAGCUUACC